rfam:Aureimonas sp. Leaf324 contig_6, whole genome shotgun sequence.
GCGCCAGGCCGGGCCCCUCUGGCAGUCGCGUCCUGCGGCUGCGAUGUCGGACUGGCGGA